CAUGUACUCCCUCCGUCCCAAAAUUCUUCUCUUAGAUUUGUCUAGAUACAGAUGUAUCUAAUACUAAAACGUGACUUGAUACAUUCGUAUUUAGACAAAUCUAAGACAAGAAUUUUAGGACGGAGGGAGUACCUA
rnacentral:pre_miRNA from 1 species